UCGAGGAUCUUCGGCAAUGGGCGAAAGCCUGACCGAGCGACGCCGCGUGCGCGAUGAAGGCCUUCGGGUUGUAAAGCGCUUUAGUGGGGGAGAAAAGGGUAAAACCUUGAUCUAUCCCAAAAAUAAGCUCGGGCUAAGUUCGUGCCAGCAGCCGCGGUAAGACGAACCGAGCGAACGUUGUUCGGAAUCACUGGGCUUAAAGGGCGCGUAGGCGGGCUGUCAAGUCUGGGGUGAAAUCCCACGGCUCAACCGUGGAACUGCCUUAGAUACUGACGGCCUCGAGGGAGAUAGGGGCGAGCGGAACUGUGAGUGGAGCGGUGAAAUGCGUUGAUAUUCACAGGAACUCCGGUGGCGAAGGCGGCUCGCUGGAUCUUUUCUGACGCUGAGGCGCGAAAGCUAGGGGGAGCAAACGGGAUUAGAUACCCCGGUAGUCCUAGCCCUAAACGUUGGGUACUGGGUAGUAGACUAGACAUGGGUUUACUGCCGCAGCAAAAGUGCUAAGUACCCCGCCUGGGGAGUAU
rnacentral:rRNA from 1 species